rnacentral:lncRNA from 10 species
GAAGGAGGUGAGAGAAGCUUACUUGUUGAGUCUUCUGGCCUUCAUCUUUCCUUCACUGGAUGCUUCAGUUCUCAUACAUCAGACUCUUAAGUUCUUUGGCUUUUGGACUCUUGGACUUACACCAGUGGUUUGCCAGGGGCUCUCGGUCCUUCGACACAAAAUAAAGGCGGUACUGCCGGCUUCCUUACUUUCGAGGUUGAGACUCCGACUGAGCCACUACUGGCUUAAUUGCCCCUCAACUUGCAGACGUGGGACUUCACCUUGUGAUCCUGAUAAAGAAAGGCACUUGACCUGGACUUGGAGAAAUUCUGAGACAGUUGCAGCAGGUGGAAGAAAUAGCUGGUAUAUGAGAGGAAAACAAAAUAGAAAUAAUCAAGUGCAUUCACUCCAGAUGAGUCAACAUCUGUACAGAAAGGAUAGCGACCAUUCAGCAAGGAUGCUCCUGUUUCCUAGAGUGAAAGCCUGAAAAUGUCAGCAGGACUUAACACAAAGAGGCUGUAGAGGUGAAAACAAGCCAAAGUUUUUAACCAAAUGUGCUGCAGGAAAGCUGAAACAGAACAGUGACUAUUGAAGGAGGAGAAAAAUUCCUAGCACAGAAACAAAAAAAGCUGCAACACACCUUGAGUUUAUUAUGAGAGUUUGCCUGUCCAAUGCAUUCUCCAAAUAGAAAGGGAAGAAAUAGCAGCUCAAGUUAAA